ACAAGGCAGCAGGAGCAGAGAGCAGCCAUUGCUGUGUCUGGCAGCAGGAUUACACAGUAGUGAAGACAUCCAGUGAGUGUAAGACACCCAGCAGCUGUCCACUUGUGUCAGGAGGACUGAGCAGGACUCAGAGCCCCAUCACAGUGCCUCCUCCUUACUCGCAGAUGCAUGAGAGACACAAUGACCAGAAGAUCCUGGAAAUCACCAACAAGAUCAUUCAGCUGCUGACUGGAGAGGAGGGGGGAGUAUAUAGAGGAACACAGGGGUCUGU